rnacentral:piRNA from 1 species
UGGAAUGUCAGCAGUGGCCCCUUUCA